rnacentral:misc_RNA from 1 species
AAGUCGUAACAAGGUUCCGCUCCUAUGGAAGCCUCAGGUCUUCGACUAUAAAAACAAGGCCGAACCCUUCCCUGGAAGGGUGACACUGUCACAAUGCAGGAACCUCUCUAGUGGAGAAUCUGCAGCCGCCUAAGGUGCGGUUCACAGGCCAAAUGACGGUGGUUCGCAACCGCGAAUUCAGAUAUGGUCGGUCCUCAGCCGUGGAAAGCUGGUAAGGAAGCAACGUUCCGUAGGUGAACCUGCGGAAGGAUCAUUAAAGAUAAAUAGGGGUUCAAAGCCCAAUUAUCAAACCUAUGCUACACUGAUGCUUCGGUGAGCCUAGCGUAAAAGCGAAAGCCCUACCGGAGCCAUCAAAACUCUGAAUGUAUGUGCAGUCUGAGUAUAAAACAUAAUAAACAAAACUUUCAACAACGGAUCUCUUGGUUCCC